AUCCUGUUUAAUGUAAUACGCAGUCAACUUGGCCAUUUCAUCAGUGUUAUCCGAGCAAAAUGUCGGCUCACAAAACAUUUAUUAUCAAACGAAAACUUGCUAAGAAAUUAAAACAAAACAGACCGAUUCCUCAAUGGGUUAGAAUGCGUACUGGCAAUACUAUUAGGUAUAAUGCUAAACGGCGUCAUUGGAGAAGAACCAAGUUGAAGCUGUAAAAUAAAUUAAUGUAUUUGCUUCACAUUUAUUAUAAUAUAUUAAUUAUUCAUUUUUAAAUAAAUUCUAACCGUAACAUUAAAU